AAGUUUGAAUCUGUUUGCAGAGGACCUGUAGUGUUGCUAUUUGGGGAAUAUCUGACAAAAACAUCUGAGGGAAGGGUUUGAGUUUGAGGAAAUACUGUCAGUUCAUCAUAGCAGGGAAGACAUAGCAGCAGGAGCGGGUGUGAGGCAAUGCACCCCAUCAAGGCAGGAAGUGGGGUGAAGGAUGCUGGUGCUCAGCUCCCUUUCUCCCUUUCAUUUAGUCCAGGACUCCAGCCAUGGGAUGGUGCUCCCCACACUCAGGGAGAGUCAUCCCUUAGUCCUCCCUGGACACAGCCAGGUGUGUCUCCCAGGUGAUUUCAAACCCAGGCAAAUAAUGAAGAUGAACAGGGCCCGCAACUGCCUUAAAGCUUUCAUCCCAAGAAAGACAGAGAACCCUAUUGUCAGCGCCUUUCCCCACCGGGGUUCUCAUCUUGAGCUGUGUGUCCCCAACCCCACAGAUGCUGCAAGGUCUGCUGAGCUGGAGCCCAACAAUGUGCUGCCUCUCUCGAGAGCCUAGGGCAGGGAUUCGGGUUUUGUUUUUCUUUUGUAUCGUCUUGUCAUUUUUAUUAACUCAAAUAGAGAUUUCUAACAUUUCCUGUGCCUUGGAGCCAUGGGGUAGGGAAGAGAGUGGCUGUUAAUGCCCAGAGACACCAAAUCAAUUAAUUAACAGUCUCCAGGGGUUGGAGAGAUGGGUCAGUGGUUAGAGCAAUGGUUGCUCUUCCAGAGGCCCUGAGUUCACAACCAUCUGUGAUGGGAUCUGAUGCCCUCUUCUGGUGUGCAAGUGUACAUGCAGGCAAAAUACCAUAUACGUAAAUAAGUCAACCUUUAAAAAUAAAUAAACAAAUGUCUCCGGGGAAGG
rnacentral:lncRNA from 1 species